rnacentral:rRNA from 1 species
GACGAACGCUGGCGGCGUGCCUAAUACAUGCAAGUUGAGCGAUGAAGAUUGGUGCUUGCACCACUUUGAUUAGCAGCGAACGGGUGAGUAACACGUGGGGAAUCUGCCUUUGAGCGGGGGACAACAUUUGGAAACCAGUGCUAAUACCGCAUAACAAAUUUAAACAUAAGUUUUAAGUUUGAAAGAUGCAAUUGCAUCACUCAAAAAUUAUCCCGCGUUGCAUUAGCUAGUUGGUAAGGUAAAGGCUCACCAAGGCGAUGAUACGUAGCCGACCUUAGAGGGUGAUCGGCCAAACUGGAACUGAGACACGGUCCAGACUCCUACGGGAGGCAGCAGUAGGGAAUCUUCCGCAAUGGGCGAAAGCUUGACGGAGCAACGCCGCGUGAUUGAUGAAGGUCUUCGGAUCGUAAAACUCUGUUAUUAGGGAAGAACAAAUGUGUAAGUAACUAUGCACGUCUUGACGGUACCUAAUCAGAAAGCCACGGCUAACUACGUG